GACGAACGCUGGCGGCGUGCUUAACACAUGCAAGUCGAACGGAAAGGCCUGCUUUCCCUUGUGGAUUGCGGGUACUCGAGUGGCGAACGGGUGAGUAACACGUGAGUGAUCUGCCCCCAACUUGGGUAUAAGCCUGGGAAACUGGGUCUAAUUCCCGAUAGGACGGCAGGGUGGUGCCUGUGGUGGAAAACGAUUUUCUAGUGGUUGGGGAUGAGCUCGCGGCCUAUCAGCUGGUUGGUGGGGUAAUGGCCUACCAAGGCGGCGACGGGUAGCCGGCCUGAGAGGGUGGACAGCCACAUUGGGACUGAGAUACGGCCCAGACUCGUACGGGAGGCAGGAGUUGGGAAUAUUGCACCAUGGGCGGAAGCCUGAUGCAGCGACGCCGCGUGGGGGAUGACGGCCUUCGGGUUGUAAACUCCUGUCGACCGAGAGGAAGCCACCUGGUUGGAAGGGUGGUGACGGUAGUGGUAGAAGAAGCACCGGCUAACUACGUG
rnacentral:rRNA from 1 species